UUCGAUAUUUAUACAUCGUAAAAUGGCUUACAAGAAAUAAUAUUGUUUAUAUAUAACAUUUCUAUCAGAAUAUCCGUUUAGUAUACGUUACAAUUUUGUAAUAAUAUAAAUUAAUAAUGUUUUUAUAAAGAGAUAAAAAAUAUAAAAACAUUCGAUAGAUACGCGCGUUUGCUAGCUUUUAAUACAAUUAUAGUGAAGUUUGUAUUCAGCUGACGGUCACAGAUACGUAACAUCGGUCGAGAUAAUUGUCCCAGACUCAUCCAUUUCUUAGAAGGAUUUGCAUUCUGUGUCGAGGUCAGAAAAUAUGUAUAAUAGAAGCAAAAAGUUUUCUAUGUAAUUUUCUUAAGAAUUCUUAACAAAGGAUUAAGCUAGAAAAUAGAGUUUCUUCAGAAUUAGCAAGUUGAAGUGGCAGUGGGCUGGUCAUCUGUGACGCAGGACCGAUGCUGUGUAUUGUGAUAUUUUAUUUAUGAAUAACGUUCCUUAUCACAGGUUUCAAA